GCCAAGAUCAGCAAUCAUUAUCCCACCCGGGCAAUCAAGCCAAGGUCCGCAUCCCACCCGGGCGAUUAAGCCAAGGUCAGCAAUUAUUAUCCCACCCUGGCAAUCAAGCCAAGGUCCGCAUCCCACCCGAGCUAUCAAGUCAAGGGCCACAUCCCACCCCGGCAAUCAAGCUAAGGACCGCAUCCCACCAGAGCAAUCAAGCCAAGGGCCACAUCCCACCCCGGCAAUCAAGCUAAGGUCCGCAUCCCACCAGAGCAAUCAAGCCAAGGGCCAUAUCCCACCCUUGCAAUCAAGCUAAGGUCCGCAUCCCACCCGGGCAAUCAAGCCAAGGUCAACAUCCCACCCGGGCAAUCAAGCCAAGGUCAGCGAUCAUUAUCCCACCCGGGCAGUUAAGCCAAGGUCAGCAUCCCACCCGGACAGUCAAGCCAAGGUCAGCAACCCUCCCCAUUCCUCCGGGCUUGGGACCGGCUCUUAGUUGGGCUGGCUUGCCCCCCAAGAGGCUGGGUUAACAGUUUUGUUACCCCUUUCUUCACCUCUUUCUACGUACAACAACUUUUGUUUUCACAAUCUCCGUAAAAGAUGCAGUGGAGGGUUCACGGCACCUUCAGUUGUCUUUCAACAACUGUAAUUUCUUGUUUCUUUACUAAUUUCAUCUGUUUCGUUAAUGACUUCCCUUUCCAACGUCUCCGCCUUCUUUUUUGAGGGUAAUUGUGCUUCUUCCUCAAAGUGUGGCCGCGAUUCGUCAUCACUCAACUAUACGUUGUUCUCCAUAGGAUCGUCAUCAAGGUUAGGGUAACGCAUAUAUUGAGGGCAUUUGGUGUUGGCGGCCUCUUCUGACCGCCUGCAGGGGCCGGGGAUCUCCUCGGGGCCCCUCAGUAACUCGGUCUCUGCCGUGAGGGAGCCCAAGGCCUCCCCCUCGGCUCCCGGCCCCCGGCCCUAGCAGGAAGACUGUUUGGCUCUUCACAAAAUGCCAAGACGAAGAUAAAGUUAAUAUAUUUUUUAAGUGUAUUGAUGCUGAUGAAACCGAGUUUGUCAAUUCUAGGAUGGAAAACCGGAUAGACUCCCGACCGUGGAUUCAGCAUCGAAAACCUGUUCCUGCGACACCAUCCGGCAGAGA